UACAUUCUUUGCAGAGCCCAAAUCAGCGCCUUAUACGCUGGUCUCUUUUUCUGCAGCCUUAUCCAUUAGAGAUUCGACACAUAAGGGGUGUCGAGAAUGUGUUGGCCGAUGCCUUGUCUCGGGCUCCAUGUGAGAAUCUGGAUACCUGAUUUAAAAACUUGUAUGACUGUGACUGACUUGUUUUCGUAGGUGCCGAGAGUUGCCGUGGUUCCAGUUACAAGUGAGGCCUUUUUGAGAACAUCUGGUGAUGGCGUAAUGAACAACACCUGUUAUAGAUCGGGACGUACGAAUAAAAGUGCUUCUGAGACGUGGGUCGAGGACGUGGGAAGUGACAUCAUCCCAUGCUGCCACUUGAUCGCGCGUUGUUUGUGGAUCUGUCGUCAGUAGUUAAAUUGAUGUGUUAAUUUUAAAUGUAAACCCCUAGAAUUAUGUAAUAAAAAAUAUUCUUCA